rnacentral:rRNA from 1 species
UACGUAGGGAGCAAGCGUUGUCCGGAAUCAUUGGGCGUAAAGCGCGCGUAGGUGGCCUCAUAAGUCCGCUGUGAAAGUCAAAGGCUCAACCUUUGAAAGCCGGUGGAUACUGUGAGGCUAGAGUCCGGAAGAGAAGAGUGGAAUUCCUGGUGUAGCGGUGAAAUGCGCAGAUAUCAGGAAGAACACCCGUGGCUAAGGCGGCUCUCUAGUACGGUACUGACGCUGAGACGCGAAAGCGUGGGGAGCGAACAGG